UGGGGAAUUUUGGACAAUGGGCGAAAGCCUGAUCCAGCAAUGCCGCGUGUGUGAAGAAGGCCUUCGGGUUGUAAAGCACUUUUGUCCGGAAAGAAAUCCUUGGCUCUAAUACAGUCGGGGGAUGACGGUACCGGAAGAAUAAGCACCGGCUAACUACGUGCCAGCAGCCGCGGUAAUACGUAGGGUGCAAGCGUUAAUCGGAAUUACUGGGCGUAAAGCGUGCGCAGGCGGUUUGCUAAGACCGAUGUGAAAUCCCCGGGCUCAACCUGGGAACUGCAUUGGUGACUGGCAGGCUAGAGUAUGGCAGAGGGGGGCAGAAUUCCACGUGUAGCAGUGAAAUGCGUAGAGAUGUGGAGGAAUACCGAUGGCGAAGGCAGCCCCCUGGGCCAAUACUGACGCUCAUGCACGAAAGCGUGGGGAGCAAACAGGAUUAGAUACCCUGGUAGUCCACGCCCUAAACGAUGUCAACUAGUUGUUGGGGAUUCAUUUCCUUAGUAACGUAGCUAACGCGUGAAGUUGACCGCCUGGGGAGCACGGUCGCAAGAUUAAAACUCAAAGGAAUUGACGGGGUCAUAGCUG
rnacentral:rRNA from 1 species